rnacentral:rRNA from 1 species
UCGAGCGGGAUCUUCGGAUUCCUGUGGGGGACGGGUGAGUAACGCGUAAGAAUCUAACUUCUGGACGGGGACCACAGUUGGAAACGACUGCUAAUACCCGAUGUGCCGCAAGGUGAAACCUAAUUGGCCUGGAGAAGAGCUUGCGUCUGAUUAGCUAGUUGGUGGGGGAAGAGCCUACCAAGGCGACGAUCAGUAGCUGGUCUGAAAGGAUGAGCACCCACACUGGGACUGAAACACGGCCCAGACUCCUACGGGAACAGCAGUGGGGAAUUUUCCGCAAUGGGCGAAAGCCUGACGGAGCAACGCCGCGUGAGGGAGGAAGGUCUUUGGAUUGUAAGCCUCUUUUCUCAAGGAAGAAUUUCUGACGGUACUUGAGGAAUCAGCCUCGGCUAACUCCGUGCCAGCAUCCGCGGUAAUACGGGGGAGGCAAGCGUUAUCCGGAAUUAUUGGGCGUAAAGCGUCCGCAGGUGGUCAGCCAAGUCUGCCGUCAAAUCAGGUUGCUUAACGACCUAAAGGCGGUGGAAACUGGCAGACUAGAGAUCAGUAGGGGUAGCAGGAAUUCCCAGUGUAGCGGUGAAAUGCGUAGAGAUUGGGAAGAACAUCGGUGGCGAAAGCGUGCUACUGGGCUGUAUCUGACACUCAGGGACGAAAGCUAGGGGAGCGAAAGGGAUUAGAUACCAC